UUCGUCGUUCGCCGGCUGUCUUCGUCCGAUCGCGGCGCGCGUUCCGGCUGCGUACGCGAAUGUCGAGUAAGGCCCUCGUUCGUGUGACCUGUGGUUUCUCCGGCGUUUUCCUACCCUUAGUGCGAGCACAGUGCCCAUCCGCAGUCCAUCACUCGCCACGACACGCAAACACCGCGCGAGCAGAGCACCGCGCUUCGAAACGCAUUUGCGCAUUUGCCGGCGAUUUACGCGCAGUCAUCGCCGCCGACCGUCGGUGUCCACCCCCGGGUCCACUCGCCGCGUAUGUUUGUUUCACCCCCGUACCGACGCCGAGGAGACGAGUGACACUGAACCCCGAUUCGAACCACGAUUCGAAUCUCGUUUCGAAAUUCGCGAUUCGAGCACCGGGGCUGACCACCAGGCUCGAGAUCAUAUUUGGUAUUCGCGGUGAACGAGGACCAGAUCGCCGGCCGAGUGAUUAACGAUCGAGUGGAAGGGAAAGUGACUCGAGGAAGUGACUACCUGCCGGUGUUGCUCUUCGCGGUUUUACACGCACGACAGGCAACGUUUCCGCGGACAGUCGAGCCCGAGGAAGAGAGACGGACAGAGAGGGGCGAAGGAGGAAAUCGUAGAAGGAGAAGCUAGAGAGGAGAAGAGGAGAAGCGACGGCGGCAACGGCGACUACGUGUCGGAUCGGUAAGCGGUGGUAGGAGGUGCUGGCACACGGAGAAAGAAGAAGGGGAGGCCGGUUGAAGGACGAAAGAGAGAGAGAGGGGUGUCGCGCGAGAGGGUGGCUCUCUGGGAAGGGUGGGCCCUCCAAGUGUCUUGUCUCCUAUCAUCCUGUCGUCCAGGGUAUCGCUUACGAAUGUCGCGCGAUCGAGCGAUCCGUCUCCGAUCCACGACGACGAGGGACCUCCGGCCGACGGAGGCGUCGCGAGCUGCCCGCUAGCCAGCCGACGCGCGACGUUCGAGUGUCGUUAACCGAGAGUAGACAUCGGCAUGCGACGGGAAGGACUGGGAUCGUCGUCGUCGUCGUUCCGCGUGUCGGAUAGACCUUGGGCCGUCGGGUCGUCGACGGAGCAACGAUUCUGACCAGCCGGCGGCUCCAGGGAGCAGAUCGUGUUCAGUGACGAGUGUGUUGCUACCGGUGAGCGAACAGUCGAGGGAGCCAUCGUGCCGUGCUCGAGGAUCCCGGACCGUUGGACGGAACGCGUGACGGGACGCGCGACCGCGUCAACCAUGUCGGGCGAGACCGAGAUCGAGGUGUCCGUGGUGUCCGAGGAGGACCUGGAGCUCGAGGGCUCCAGGAGCAGCUCGACGCCCGCCGAGCUGCUGCUCCAGGAGAAGAACGGCAAGACCGGCUGCGGGCUCAACAACCAUCACUCGUUCGGCUUCGACAUGGGCAAGCCGCCGCUCAGGCCCGCCUGCAAUCCCCAGUACACGUCCUUCAGCAUCUCCAGCAUCCUCGGCAGGCCGGAGUCGCCGCCGGUCGACUCCACGUCCACCGUCUCCGGCGAGAGACAAUCCUCCGACGUCGACAGGGCCUCGCCGCCAACGCAGAACUCCCAGAGGAUCGGAUCCGCCUGCGACAGCCCCAACAGAGGCCUGUCCUCGCCCACGCCGUUGAGAUACGCCGCCAAUCAACGGAGUACCGCCGUCGGACACGCCAUCGAGACCAGGAACAAUUCGACCAGUAUCGGUAUCGGGUGUGCUACCAGUGCUACCAGCCCGGCGUCCACGUUCUCGCCGCCCAGCGACUCCGCCGCCAAUCCGCUCCUGGGACAUCAAGCUUCCGCCGAUCUGGCCAUGCUCUCGAGACUAGGCCUGAUGUCCUCGCUGAUAGCGGGCCGCUACCCCGUCGGAAUCGGCGUCGGCGGCGUCUUCUUCCCGUCGACGCUGCAACACCUGCACCAGCAACAACAACACCAACAUCAUUCCCGGCUAGCAGCAGCGUCGUCAGCGUUGAGCAACGCGGUGCAGGUCACCGGCCAAUCGGACAUCGUCGACGCCGACGGGAUCCGCGGCGUCCUGCCCGGCGGCGCCGGUUGGCCGUUUCCAUGGAGGCCGACGCACGGUUUGCAGACGCUCGAGCAUCCGUCGCCCAGCGACGUCGUCGGCACCCUCAGCCGCGUCAGUCCCGCAUCCGCGAGCUUUCCGCAAAGGGAUGACCUUGACGACGAGAACGGGGAGGACCGUCUGCAUCGGACGCGGAGUCCGUCGACGGGCGACGAAGGGCACGACGACCUCGGCGACCAGGACGACUGUGCGGACGGGGACGGCGAAGGGGAGUCGACGAACUCGACGAGCCUGCACGGGGGGAACGGGUCGGGGAACGGCGGUGGCGGUGGUGGCGGAGGUGGCGGCGGCGGUAACGGGCAGAACAGCGUGCAGGUCGGUGUGGACGGUCGCGAUUCGGGCAGCAUGAAGCGGAAGAAGAAGACGCGCACGGUGUUCUCGCGGUCGCAGGUGUUCCAGCUGGAGAGCACGUUCGACAUGAAGCGCUACCUGUCCUCGUCGGAGCGGGCCGGGCUGGCCGCGUCGCUGCGGCUGACCGAGACCCAGGUGAAGAUCUGGUUCCAAAACCGGCGGAACAAAUGGAAAAGGCAGCUGGCCGCCGAGCUGGAGGCGGCGAACAUGGCGCACGCGGCCCAAAGACUGGUCAGGGUGCCGAUUCUCUACCACGAGGCCUCCGCCGGGACCGGAAGCUCCGGCGGCGUCUCGGUGUCGGUCGCCGCGCCGCCGACGGUCACCGCGCCAGCCUCGGUCGCCACGUCGGCGCUCUCGCAUUCGGUCGGCGUCGGCGUCGGCGUCGGCGUCGGUGUCGGCGUCGGCACCUCCUGCCCCCCAACCACCGCCCAGCCGAUCUUCUACUCCCAUCACCAUCAGCACCACCAUCAUCAUCCGGCUCACGUGCAGGCGCACACUCUCCUGCCCCACCAGGUACACCCGCAACCUCCGCCACCCCCGCCGCCGCCGCCUAACGGACAACCACCCCAAUCCUCCUCGCAAUAACACCGUCCGGCUCACGAGACCGUCGGCACGCCGCCGCGACCAACCAUCAUCGCCGAGAGAAACGUCGCGAUUGCGCGACUAUUACCCACGAUCGUGCUCUCCGGAUCCGCGCGUGAAGAUUAUUCCCACGAUCGAAACCGGAUCGUCACUUUCUAAUCGGGGACGUUGCAAAAGCGAGAAAAAACAAACGAGUAGAACGAAAGAGAAACGAACACUGGUCUGUCUCACUCUUGUAAAAUGUAAUAACGCGUCUGAGGAAACCAAGAAAAAACACUCACAACACAUACGUACGUACAUACAUUACAUAUACACGCACGCACACACGAGAAUUGUAAACUAACUGUUAGGAUACACCGUAAGACACAAGGCAGGGUUCCUACGACAUGUUCUACCUGUUGUGAUAAGUAUCUUAAACGAUUAAUUUUAUUAAAACGAACGGUAGAGUUGUGAGAAAAGAUACGCAAAAAAAAGACGAUCGAAAUAAGAGAAAACUGAACAGGAAAAAGAGUAAUGAAGAGAAACCAAAUGAAACCAAACCGGCUCCUUGCAUUGUAUACCACAGAAACACCACACCUUGAUUCUAUAGACGUCAAUUAAGGACACACGCCUGUCGCGCCCGUGUUUUGUACGGACUUAUUUGUGAUCCGAGAUCUCGAACUAUUGUACAGCCGAUCGUUUCGUAAUCGCUAAUAAUGAUCGUUGAACCAUACUCUGGACGUCUUUCAGAAUCCUCCCUGUCGACCUCAUUCCACCCUUAUCACCUGGCCACGUCGCAAGCAAAUUAUCUCACAGCCAUUCGAAAUCAAACCGAUACGGCAUAGCCGGUGAAAUCUCUGCCACUAAGAAAAUAAAUAUUUAACUCAUUCCGCUUUCCACAAACUAGUCUGUCGAAACAGAAGUUUGCGAAACGGUCCAAAGCACACUUAUAAAAGGUCUCUUCUGAUCGAAGAAGUUAACGACCGCGAGAUUACCAUAAAUCGCAAGAAUUUGCAGCGACGUGAUCAGGUCCCAUCGUCGGCGACGAGAUUCCACAACAGACUCGAUUGAUCAACAUUUCCCGGAAACGUCGGAAUCGUUUCUAAUCCAGAGGGCAUCCCCUAUCCGAUCGGUGGCAUAAAUUCCAAAUAUCAACAGUCUGCGAGGAUCCUCGACGCGACGAACACGCCCGGGUACCGUCGCUUCUCGACAAAGUUAACCGUUGAUUUCCCGGUAGAUCGCCGAUGUAAUUGAGUCGUCGCAGAGUGGAAAGUGAUCAUCGAUUGGUGCUCCACGCUCUCCGCGUUCUUGUGUUCUAUAUUUUCCUCGGUUACAAACGGUUUACGUGUCGCCGCGGGACGCGAGUGUUUAUGGGGGAGAGACUGAAGGGUGCGACGGUUUUAAGAAAUUAAGGACUCCGCUGUCUGAUUCCCCGGAAUAUUUCCGUUUUCUCCAAUUAACCCCCUGAGCCACGCCUUUCCUCUUGGCACGAUUUUCUGUCCAUUUGUCUCCUCGAUUUCUGCGAUAUUCGUGCCACCGUUCGAAAUUAUCGUUGACACUGGGUGAUCUUUGUGGUUCGCUUGAACGCGGACGGUAAAUGAAUUCGUAGCUUCGAUAUUUGUAUCAGCGUUGGUUCAAAUCAUUUCGCAAGAGGUCGAAUAGUUAAUUCUAUGUCGAAGGAAGCAGAUCUUGAAAGCAUCCAUAAAUUGAAUUCAUCUUAAAGCCAAGGUUUACAGUUGUAUGGGAGGUUAAGAUCGAUGCUCGACCCUUCACCCUCUCCGUCCAUCAUUGUUCGACCCUGUCAGGACCCUCGGAUCAACUACAAAUUCGCGAAGACGCCAAAGUAGACGAAAAUUUUUAUGAGACGCAGCGUAGAGCUGUGAAACCGGGAGAAUUUCGGGAUCUUGCCGGUGCGUAGAAUAUAGAAGAACGAUCCGAGGGUGGCGGGGGUUGAGGAUUCGUUCGAUAUCGGUCAGGGAGCAUCGGGCGAGCUGCAAGUCGCCGUGAAGUGUGUGUCACGCGUGUCAUUCGGAGCGGAUCCGACCGAUUCAUCGUCGCUUUCGAUUCGAGUCGGCUCGGUCGAGGCGAGGAGGCGCCAUU